GGGCCAAUCGAGAACUCUCUUUAGCUUGAUGGCAUUUGUCUUGAGUCUCACUACAAUUGGAAGCCAUAUAGAUUGAAGAAAAGAAGAAAAUGGAAGAAACAUAUAAGAAAAAUGAGGAUGGAAGUAUUAGGAAAUGCCAUCACAUAACGACCGUUAUGCAUGCAGAAAUUUUAAAAUUUAAAAAACUCGCAGCAGAAAAAAAUUUUAAAAAUUAUUUUCAAUAUCAUUUUAGAAUAAUCAUACAACAUAACAUUUCAAUGUUAUGCCAGGGCAACCUUAUGCCAGAAUGAUAUUAAAAUAAAUCAUUAAUUAGAUCUAAUCUAAUCAAGCAUACAUAG
rnacentral:lncRNA from 1 species